rnacentral:rRNA from 1 species
GCCCGUCGCUACUACCGAUUGAAUGGCUCAGUGAGGCCUUCGGACUGGCCCAGGGAGGUCGGCAACGACCACCCAGGGCCGGAAAGUUGGUCAAACUCGGUCAUUUAGAGGAAGUAAAAGUCGUAACAAGGUCUCCGUAGGUGAACCUGCGGAGGGAUCAUU